rnacentral:rRNA from 1 species
AUUUGGUUUGGGGCCCUUCGCGGGGUACCCUGCUGAACCAAACUCCGAAUACCGGUAGAACUAUCUCGGCAGUGAGUCCGCGGGGGAUAAGCUCCGCGGUCGAGAGGGAAACAACCCAGACUACCUGCUAAGGUCCCGAAGUCGUGCUAAGUCACUAAGGAAGUUGAAUUGCUGUGACAACCAGGAUGUUGGCUUAGAAGCAGCCAUCAUUUAAAGAAAGCGUAACAGCUCACUGGUCUAAUUAAGGGGUUUUGCGCCGAAAAUGUAACGGGGCUAAAGCCAUGCACCGAAGCUUUGGGUUCACCGCAAGGUGAGCGGUAGCGGAGCGUUCCGUAGGCCGAUGAAGGAGGAUCCGUGAGGACUUCUGGAGGUAUCGGAAGUGCGAAUGCUGACAUGAGUAACGAUAAAGGGGGUGAGAGACCCCCUCGCCGAAAGACCAAGGGUUCCUG